ACUGGGAGGCCGGUGGAAUCCAGCUCGGCCACCUACCAGCUCUGUGACUCAUCUUCCCAUCUAUGCAAAUCCUACGUCCCUUAUCUGCUACCCUCAGGCCAGAAGUGACCGGGGAAUUCCUAUGGAUUUUUGAAGGAUGAUGCAGUGUGCAGCUGGGAAAGGAAACAUCUCGGGGUUCUUCUGUGAAAAGGCUGCUGGCCAAGAGGAUGCCCUGGGGAGAAAUAAAGCCGGAAGCCCAUCCCAGCCCGUUCAGCUGACCUGUGUGGCCUCGGUCUGCACGUCUGCACAGUGGGCAUGAUAAUGGGGCCUGCCUCACAGGGUCGCUGCGGAUAUUCAGGUCCCCCCACCCAGACACUGCAUCCUCAUGGCGCGCUCUUACUCUGCAGAGGCCAGAGCUGUGACUGCUCAGGCCCCCACCCACCACAGGAAGCAAAGCAGGGGCAGGAAGGUGUCUCCAGCUGGCUGAGCACCGGCCUAACCUUUCCAUAUUUGGACGUGGGAUUCCAUGGGCGUGGAGGCCAAAUCCAGGGCCCAGAGCAGGAGGCCUCGUCGGGUUCUGGAGGCUAGAAGCCUGAAGUUAAGGUGUCAACAGGGCCAAGAUUCCCUCCUUGGCUCGUCCGGCUUCUGGUGGCUGCUGGCGAUCCUUGAUGUUCCUUCACUUCUGGCUGCAUUACUCCGACUCAGCCCUGCAAGCCAAUUGCUUUGUCUGUAUCCAGACUGAGCAUGUAGGGCUGGACGGCGCGCAGGGUCAUUCUCUGGACAGAAGGCUGGGAGGGACAGGUACCUGGGUGGCGGGGGCCCAGGCCUCCCGACCCUGCCCGUUGCCAACAUGGCCUCUGUGCAUGAUGUUGAUUAAAGGAACAGUGGCUGUUUA